rnacentral:tRNA from 1 species
GGUUGUGGCUCAGAGGUAGACUGCUUGCCUCACAUGUGCAAGACCCUGGUUCAAUCCUCAGCACCA